GCGCAAGCCUGAUCCAGCAAUACCGCGUGUGUGAAGAAGGCCUGAGGGUUGUAAAGCACUUUCAAUGGGGAGGAAUACCCGCCGGCGAAUACCCGGCGGACUGACAUUACCCAUACAAGAAGCACCGGCUAACUCCGUGCCAGCAGCCGCGGUAAUACGGAGGGUGCAAGCGUUAAUCGGAAUUACUGGGCGUAAAGCGUGCGUAGGCGGUUGGCUAAGUCAGAUGUGAAAGCCCCGGGCUUAACCUGGGAACGGCAUUUGAAACUGGUCGACUCGAGUUUGGUAGAGGGGAGUGGAAUUUCAGGUGUAGCGGUGAAAUGCGUAGAGAUCUGAAGGAACACCAGUGGCGAAGGCGACUCCCUGGACCAAAACUGACGCUGAGGUAC
rnacentral:rRNA from 1 species